GCGACCUACGGGACGCAGCAGUGAGGAAUAUUGGUCAAUGGGAGAGAUCCUGAACCAGCCAAGCCGCGUGAGGGAAGACGGCCCUAUGGGUUGUAAACCUCUUUUGUCGGAGAACAAAACCCGGGACGUGUCCCGGACUGCGUGUAUCCGAAGAAAAAGCAUCGGCUAACUCCGUGCCAGCAGCCGCGGUAAUACGGAGGAUGCGAGCGUUAUCCGGAUUUAUUGGGUUUAAAUGGUGCGUAGGCGGUCCGUUACGUCAGCCGUAAAAUUGCGGGGCUCAACCCGUCUAGCCGUUGAAACUGGCA
rnacentral:rRNA from 1 species